UUUUUUUGCAUUGCGUUUCCAUCUCACCGCAGGGAUUACAUUUCCUCCAUCUAGUGCACACUCUAUACGCUUCAUACCUCUGAGGAAGGGGACUCUAGUCCGCCAAAGCUGUGCCACCAGGCCAUUGUAGUGAUUCAGAGACAUUUCCUAGUUGUUGUAGCAGCUAAUAAAUUUCACUAUACUAAAUCUUGUCUCAAGGACUGGACAGAUGACAAGAGGACUUCAUUAUGAUACUUCCAUAAGCUAGAGGCACCAGGAAAAUCUAGGCUACGUUCAUUUACCAUGCUUGUAUUAGUUUCUCUGCCAGAAGAAGCAGAAAAGAAUCGUAGUGUAAUCUACAAUUAUCCAUGAACUUGCUUGCAAGAGGAUCUAGAUUUCCAAAAUACUUUAGGUACAUCUCAGUUUGCACAAUGACAAUGUAGGAUUUUCAGAGACUACAGUAGGAUUCCACUGGUAUCUUUUUCUCUGCACCUGUGUCUCUUUUAUGGUCUUCUUGUCUAGAUCCAUGUGUAACAUUAAAGAACCCCCAAAAGAGGGAAGCCAAUAUAUUACUAUGGGGCAUUUGCUUUCUUAUUACAUUUAUAACAGUAGCAGUACUGUAGUAGUAAUCAUAGUCAGCAGAGUGCUAUUUAGGGAGUUUGUGUGUCUUGGGUGGCAUUUGAUCUGGGCAGAUUGGAAUGGAGCAAAAGAUAAUUUCAUAUUAGUAAACACCACUGGCUGCAGCAAAAGGCUAUGAACACCGUAGCAUUCUCAGCUAGAAAAGCAAAGAUCCAUAUUUACAAGGAGUGUGCGCAUAUCUCUGCUUUUUCCUUUUAUGGACAGCAUUUACUAUACCAUGUAAAUUUAGAUUUGCUAUAAUAUAGAUGGAAAUUUUCUUAAAAUAAAUGGACCUGCUCAGCUCA